GCUGAACAUGAACACACACACACACACACCCUCCACCCCCCCACUAACUUGGCCCUCAGGGACCCACUGCAGCAUCUGUUCGCUCACUCCCUGUGCCAGACUGAGCCCCUUUCUGCAAACAGACUGACUGACAGAGAAGGAAGAGGACCAUCAGAGAACCAGUCCAGCUGUCUAGGUCCAACCUGUGGCCUUCAGCUUGGUUUUCUCUUGUGUUGCCAGAUCUAUCCAGCGUUUAGGCCAAAACCCCCAAAACAGACAAACAGCGAAUUCUGGAAUCCUGAAACUGCAGUUCUCUGAGUGUCCACUAGAGGCUGCCUCCACUGUGACUUUGUCCCAUAGACUGUAUAGACUACAAGCAAUUUGGUUCCACCUUACUCCACUAUACAGUUUUAAAGCCGAAGCUCUCUGUAAUUCCACGUUUAUUUUCUAUUUCCUGAAACCAACAUUGCGCAGUAGCGUUGUGCGUAUUUGGUGGGAGAGUCGCCUAGAGUCGCUGUGAUGAAGUUCGGCUCAAAAAGCGUAUCCCUCGGGUGAGCUACUCAAUCUUAGUACGCCCAUAGGCUGUAUCAGGUGUCAAUCAUAGAAAACAUGAACCCCCUAAUAACUUUUAAAAAUGGAGCUGUACAAAAAAAAAGAGAACUUGAGCACAAACCAGUCUGACAGUAACUACAUGUCAACAUCACAACCAGCCUAUAUUCUGUGUCAUUAAUUUCUAAAGUUUGUCCACAGCUCCAUGAGGAGGCGGGAUUUAUGACCUAUACUGCAGCCCGUCACCAGAGGGCGCUGUUCUCGGAGUGGCUUCACCCAGAGAGGAGGCAGAUGGCUUCCAUUCUAGAUACAGUCUAUGGUGCUGAGCAGAGGACCCAACAGUGUCCCCCUAACAUCUGUCAGAGCGGUUCUGAUGACUUCAGAAUUCGUAGGAAUGUUCGGUAAUGUCACAGAUGUUCCCGGACUGUUCCAGUAUGUUUUCAGAAGUCCAAAAUCUUCUCAAACAUUCCAGAAUGUUAUUGAUCUUUUAGAAUGUCUUUGAUGUACAGAAUGUUAUUGAUCUUUUAGAAUGUCUUUGAUGUACGGAUUGUUAUUGGUCUUUCAGAAUGUCUUUAAUCUUCCACAAUGUUCGGUGAUAUUCUAGAAUGUUCUACAUCCUCCAGAGCGUCACCACCAUAGACUGUAUAUACUACGGACAACUUGGUUCCACCUUCCGCCAGUACUCUGUAUGCAGUCUACGAGAACAAUCAAAAAGGAAACAGCCAAACAGGUAUUUACUCACUUUUAGAGGCAGCCUCGAGUGGACACUUGAGGAACUGCAGUUUUUUAUGGACCUCAUUUUGGAGACAAAAGAUCAAAGAAUAAAAACAUUUAUUUUAUAUUAGCCAAAGGAAUCCUGGACCAGCAUAGACACAUCAGACUUUUCUCUUCUGCCCUCUAGGAGGCGCUACUAUGCCCCUCCAAGAGGAACAAAUAGGUACUCGGACUCAUUUAUCCCCUCGGAGAUCAAGCUGAUAAACGCUGAGAAGUAGCAGAUUGGUGGCCUGUGUCUGAUUUUGGGAUCUCAGGAUUGUUUUAGUUCUUAUUUUACUCAUUUUAGUAUUUCCAUUGUAAACGUAUUGCACAUG